UUUUGCCGUGGGGAGUGAGUGCUUGGCAAGCCGCCACAAAAAUACCAUGAUCUUUGACGGCAACUUGGACUCUCCAAAUUGAUGUCCAGUUCUUCUCCAACUAUCUUGUUGGAGUUCGACGCUCUACCUUCCAGCCAUGCCUCCCAUUUUCCCUUCGUGUCGGGGGUUGGGUACGAUAUAUGUCAACGGAUGGCUUAUCAUGGUGGGAGCGAGUAAAACGUCGCCGGUGCCUGGAAGCGGGAUAAGGCGUAGACACGUACGUCGACGGACUUUACCCAGGUUGGGGGCUCUCCGUGGAGAUAAUACCCCUACUCCUGCUCUGCGGGGUCUCCGCAUGAUAACUAAGGCACUAGUGCUACAAGUUGCUCCUUGAGCUGUGUCUAGAGGUAGGAGAAGGCAAGGCUAGCUCUUCCCUGCCCUAGGUAACUGGCUGCUUCUAUCAGGGUUGGAACCCUUUGCAUGGGUGGCUUGGCGGGUUUAUAUAGGCCUACCCCCCAGGGGUACAAUGGUAAUCCGUCCGGGUGCUGGGCCCGGCUUGUCAGUGUCUCCAGCCUUCGGCUUCUCCGCCGACCGUUGGGGCCCGCCGCCUAGUGGGCCUCGCCGGCUGGUUGGUGGCUGCUUAUUGUAGCCGUGUUGUUGAUGACGGGGGCUUGGUCAUCUUAGUGUGGCUACAGUCCCGUUGCCUGGUGGGGGGGCCACUGUAGCCACUCCUGGUCUUGUCAGCUUAAUGGCAUGCUUGCCUCGGGGCAAGAGACGGCCGCCUGCUGGAGGCCGGCCCUUCCCGAAUCCGCCUGGUUGGGCUUCCGCCAUCCUCCGCGGGGCUCACUGCCCGAUGGGCCCCGCCACCGGCAGGCCGUACUGACAGGCCGUCGUGGGGAACAGGACUCCGCCUACUCGGAGUGACGUCAGAGGAGACAUUGCACAGUGCCCCGUCGUGAGGAGAUCUCCGCCUGUAUGGAGCACUGUAGCCACGCCUGUCCCGAGCGGCGGAGGCGACGUGCUUCACUGUAGCCAUGCUCUGACUUGUACUCUUGAUGGGGGCUCAGCCGUGCCAUGGUCGCGAGGUGGCCGUCUGCCCGUUGCCGCCCUCUCUGGAGGCCGGCCGGCAGGAGCCGGGCACCCGGAGCGCCGUAGUCUUGGGUCUGCUGCCCUCUGGCAGCCGGCCGUUGAGCCAGCCGGCUCCCUGAGCGCGGAGCUUCAGCUCGGGGCCCAGCUAGGCGGAGCUGGACCAAAGUCUUGAUAAAUCCAGGGACUCGGGUGAGCCUACCCGUGGGCCAUUACUCCGACACUUCAUGCAAGCGAGCAUGGUGAGAACACUCUUUUGUAAAUAAUUUUACUUGUUUCAAGUACCACUUUCUGUAUUACCUUUAACAAAUUUUCCGUGGCAAUGCAUGGGGAUCAUCUAAUUAAGAACAGUAAAACUGCACCUAAUCCCUGCCCUCUCAGUAAUUAGGUGUUUGUGGCUGUUGGAUUUCGCUAACUGGGCAUUCUUCGUCGUAGGAUCUUCAUUAAGCUGUACCUUAAUUGCGAAGUGGGCUAAAUGUUGCAGGGGCAGCUGCUCCCGUAGCUUUUUCUGAGCCCUCUGGUUAAUUGGGCUGCCUCGGGCCCGUUUUCCCUGCUCAGGCCCAACACAACGAACAAACCUCAGCGAGUACCGCUCCAUCUCCUAAAACAAUCGCUCUAUAGAGAGGGGAUGGCGGCGCUCGAUGCGGCCAGCGCGGCUUCGAUGCAGGCGGCUCGGGCGGCCAGCGGCCGGGUCCAGGCGAGGCACCAGUGGAUCCAGGCUAUCCGCGCCGCACGUGAGGGUAUCCAUUACCACUCGACCGAGAGGAUCCAUGAGCUAUCGAUCGAUCGAGGGUAUCCAAUGCGGGAUGCAGGUCAUGGGUCGAUCUACAGAAUCCACUUUGGUGGCCGGUCCAUUCGACUGGUUGGCGUGGGACGCGGACGAUAAUGGAGGUCUUUGCUCGUGGCUAGCCGGAGUCGGCCGCGCCUGGCCGCUAAGAUCGCGGACGGGGGACGAUGGAGGUUGUGGCAGCUAUAUGUGGACCGCAGUGCGACGAUGACAGAUCAACCGUGGUCCUCGUGAUGGGUUCCCGCGCCAGGGUCUUAGUCAUUGCGUUGUUGGUCGCAGGGCAGUUAUCAGUCGCCAGGGCAGGGAAGUACCUCUCCGUGAUGCAGGUCAGCCUCAACCUGGUUGCCUAAUAUCUAAUUCCUAGCACGCACUCUAGCAGCACGACUGCGGCCUCCUGGACCACCUGGCCGUUCGUUAUGAUGGAAGCGCGCGACGAGCUUGGAGGUGAAGCCAGGGAGGAAGGGAAGAUUGUAAUGUCAUGCUCGAUCUUGACAGUAGUGGCAGUGGGAAGCCUACUGAAAUCAACUUGUAAAGUCCGAUCCCCUCUCUACGUCUUUAAACAAUGUUCAAAUGAUACACAAUAUGCUUAGUUAUUUGUAAGGUCUGGAAUAUUUUCCUGCAACAGAAGUGUCUGCAACAUAAAUUUUUGGAUGGUGAAGCUUUCAUUGGUGCUCCGUGUGCUGAAGGCCUGAAGCUGAUCACCAGCAUGCGAGGGCAAUGGCAGCCACGGCUGGCUUUGCUCAAGCAAACUCACAUCAUGCACUCACUAUAGUAUAUGCCAUUAACCUCUACAGUCCGUCAGUUGGCUCAAGAUGUUCAUAUCAACUUACCAUACAGUUUAUAUUUCAGGUACAAAAUGUGUUGGCUCAAGAGCCACCAGAGUCGUUUGCUUCUUAAUAUUUGGACAGUUGAAUUCGGGAAUACAUGAGACAUGCAUUUGAUUUUGAAUUAAGAGAUGGAGAAUCUGAUUGUUGCUUGCAAAAGGUGCUCAGGCAUGGGAAACAGUUACUUUUGACAGUAAAAUAGAGGCCAUCAGAUCAAUGUAUUGUUAGCCACAAAAUUCUUGAGCUUAUAACUUCUAGACAUUUAUGGAUUCAGAACUUAGAGUGGGAGGCACCAAUGAUACGCCUGGUCAUUGUGGUUCAACUUCACUACUAAUUAGGACAAAGAACUAGGUGAUGAUACCUAUUAAUGUUGAAUGCUCGAGGUAAGUGUAUAAUUACCCUGCAUUUUCGCUUGGUCAUGCGGGUUAUUGUCAACUAUGAAGUUUUGCACAGUUCACUUAUAACAUAUAUGACCAAGCAAAUAACAUAAAUGUUAUUGGGCUGCAGGCAUCCUCCUUCUGCUGUGAUGAUGCAUCAUGCAUUAUGAUUUUAUAAUAUUCCUUUUACACCAAGCUUCUGAAGUUAAACAUGAAUGUAGACAUGAAGCAUUUUAGUGAGAGUUGUACAACGGCAAGCAUUUUUAGGUGGUUUAGAAACUUCUGUCAGAAAUUUCCUUUGUGGUGUUCAAGUUAUAAAGUAAAAUCAAUGCCAUUUGGCGGCUCACCUUUCUUUCACUCUUCAAAUUAUUAAACUAAUUAUAUCUCUUAUUUUCUGUGAAAUAACAUUAUCAAUAAUAUCCCUGCUAAUUUUACAAGGUCACAUAAAUGCAGUAUUUAGUUGGACAAAUUAUGCAAAGUACAUGAUAAUUAAAAACACCCAUACUGAUAUAAUUGAGAUUAUGCACUAAAGGUUUAUUCCUAAAAUAGUGAAGGUUAAUCUAACAUUUCUGAAGAUGGUUAAGAAUGACCUUCCUAGAUACUGUGAAGUCAUGUGAUGAUCCCUUUGGUUACAUUGUUUUCUCUCUUUUGUGAAGUUACAAGAACUGGAAAAACUAAACUUGUCAAAUUUCAAAAGCAUGGACCUUUUUUCUUUCUUUCUUUGUGUAUACUUCUCUUAUAGUUCUUAUAAUAACACUUAUUGCUAAUAUGCAUUUCGUAAUUAGAUUCUUUUUGGCUGAUAGUACUUUUAAUAAACUUUUAAAAGAAGGGGGUUUCAGAUCCUCAAUAUAAUGGUUUGCAAUGGUUUGGGGAUCAGUAUAAUUGUCUGGUAUUAAAUAAAUAAAAUUACUUUACUUUCACCAAUUUAUCAUCCUUUUAAAAUAUGUAUUUAUCAUCAGUUCUGAAAUAGGUCAAAUCAGUUCAUGAGCGAGGACCAAAGUUUACAAAAUGAUCAAUUGAUGAACUGCAAUGAGAUGUCAAUGUAGUAAAAUCAAGAACAAUUGUAGCUUAUGAUGGGCAAGAACAAUGAGCAGCCAUAAAUUUCAAAGAAGGAAAACCAAUAUCAAACAAGUUGAUGUGCGUGUUUCCGAUUUCAGUGCCAAGGGAGAUAUUUUAACGCUAAUUGUACAAUGUUUUUAGAGCUGUCUUUUUACCAUAUAAUAUGAUGUUGUAGCUAAAACUCCUAGCUGCUUAGAAUCAAUUUUAGAUAGCGGUCUUACAACUACAGUACACAGAUUACACUACAAUGCUCUGUUUUGCUAAUCCAAAAUAUUAAGUUCAUUGUCCUUAAAUUCUAAGCAACUUAUAUCGUAUUUAACACCAAUAUUUACGCCAUCGUGUAUUUAUCAAAUAUCCUAACAUUAUACUGAAAAAGAGACGGGCGCGACAACGCGCGCCAUCAAUGAUAUAGUAGUAUACAAAUAGGAACCCCAGCAAAAAAAGAAAGAAAGAUAUGUGGGCUCAAUCAGUAGCGGAGAGUGACAUGGAAGUAAGACGGGACCAAUUGAUAAGCCCAAAGUAAUAGCUUACCUGAGCCAACAAAUACAAAUUUAUUAGGCCCCGUAACCGGUUGCGUCCUCCCCCAAAAAGCUCUGCUC
rnacentral:lncRNA from 1 species